UACGAAGGGGGCUAGCGUUGCUCGGAAUUACUGGGGGUAAAGCGCACGUAGGCGGCCAUGAUAGUCAGAUGUGAAAGGCCUGGGCUUAACCCGGGAACUGCAUUUGAUACUGCAUGGCUAGAGUCCAAGAGAGGGUAGUGGAAUUCCCAGUGUAGAGGUGAAAUUCGUAGAUAUUGGGAAGAACACCAGUGGCGAAGGCGGCUACCUGGCUUGGAACUGACGCUCAGGUGCGAAAGCGUGGGGAGCGAACAGG
rnacentral:rRNA from 1 species